AUGUCGAAACCAGGCUGCAGUUACCCAUUACCUACAGCGAGAACAGCGGUCACUGAGCCAAACCUCAGCGCCCCCCGCGUCUCCGGGGUCUCCAGGUGCGCACUCGGCCCUGGGUUCCCGGGGGGGGGAGGGGGGCUGUCAGCACAGCCACCCCCCAGCCGGCCCGCGAGCCCAGCGGAGGUGACACCAAAGCCUGCACUGAGCGACCCGAGUGCACCAGGCACCGCGACACGCGUCAUUACCGCGGUGGGGCAGAAGCAACAGGUGCUUUACUCAGCAGAUCAGAAACGAACCUGUAAUUGUCCCCUCGACAGCGAAGCUCUGAGUCGCCCUGAAGACGGGCGGCCCUUGGAAACCCAGUCUGCACCCGGGAGCCGGGAGCUCCUCACCCAAACCCUUUCUACACGGGGCGAACCGGACGCCGGCUUAACCGCCCCGGCGGCUCUGCAACCCGAACGCCCCUGGGACCCGCGGAAAGCAGCCUCUUGGCAGCGCCGGCCGACCCGCGCCCUCCUCCGCGGCACCGGUUCGCGCCCGGGCCGGUUCCGUUCCUGGCCCUUCGGGGCGAGGACGAGCACGUCCAGCGGGAGGGAUCGCACGGAGCGUCUCGAGGAACAGUUCUCUCCGGCACAUCCCCAGCGCUCCGGGAGCCGAGGGCGGGAAGGGCUGCCCCGGAGCCGACCGCGUCCAUGUUCCCGCCGCCCGCCCGGGGAGAAGCCGCGUCCGCGCCAGGCCCCUCCGCGGCGCCGAGUUGCGCGAAGUUGUGUUGAGCACACGGCACUCGGGGCGGCGCGGGCCGGGCGCACAUCCGCGGGUCCCACUGACUCCGCCGCGCGGGCGGGGGGACGGGGCUUCCCAGGAGUCGCGCUGCCCGCGACCGACGCUCCCCGGAAAGGCCCGCGAAGCCCGGCGUCCGUCUCCCCGCAAACGCCCGGGGCGGCCGCGGCGCCGGUUCCUAAGCCAGGCCGCGCGGCUGCGGCGCGAUCCCGGGGCGCGUCCCUGCUCACGGGGAGCUCCCUUCUCGGCAGAGCCCGGCGGGCCCGGCGGUUACAUAAGGGGCGGCCCGGCCGGCGCGGCGGCUGCCCGAGGCCCGACCCGACUCCAGCGCGGACUCCCCGGCCAAGGCCGCCGACACCCGCAGCCCCACUCGGCCUCCCUCCGCCGCCCGGCCCGACCUCCCCGUCUCCCAGCGCGGCCUCCCCGUCCCCCCGGCCGCCCGGCCCGACCUCCCCGGGCUCCCCGCCCGCGGACAAUGCGGAGCCGCCGCCGCCGCCGCCGCCAAACAUGGCGUCGGCACCACAACCCCGAGAGGCCGGGCCGAGGCGGCGGCGGCAGAGGCCCGGGCGGCCGGCGAGGCGGUGGGAGGCCCUUCCCUGCCCCGUCGCCGCCCACUCACCUUCGGGGCGCCGCGGCCGCGGGAGCCCGGCGGGCGGGCGGGCGGGCGCGGGGGCCGGCGCGGCCGAGGCGGCGCUAAUGGCGCCCGCGGCUCCUCCGCCAACGGCCGCGCAGGCCGGGCCCCGCCGCCGCUCCUGGGCGCGGGCUCCUCUCGGCCGCGGCGACUCCGGGCCCGGCAGCGGCGGCCGCGGGCUCUCGGGCGGCGGCUCGCGCGGCGCGGGUUCGGGGCCCGGCUGGAGGCCCGGCUCGGGGGGCCCGGCCGGCGGGCGCGGGCGGCGGGCGCGGGGCGCGGGGCGCGGGGCUGGCUCGGACGCCCGGGCCGGGUCGCUCGCUCGCUCCCCAGCGAAGCAAACAAUGCGGCGAGCGCUCCGCCCGGCGCGCUGCGUGCUAGACGCGCCCCGCCCGCCGCCGCCAUGA
ensembl:lncRNA